rnacentral:tRNA from 1 species
AAGGACUUAAGUUAAAAUUGUUAAUAAAACUAAUAGCCUUCAAAGUUACAAUUAAAAGAGAUCUUUUAGGCCUUA